CGCAGGUCCUCUACCGCUGGCUGGAGACAUGUCCCCUGCCCAUGGAAGGUAAAACAAGAGAAGAACUUCCAUCCGUUGGCUGGGGACAUGUCUCCUGCCUGGAAGGAAGGAAGGAUAAGAGGGGCUGUGGGUCAGGAGCAGGAGUCAGUCUGCUGUACCGCUGAGGAGAACCUGCCCAGUCUGGGUUACAUACAAUUGCUAAAACCAUGAGGUGGGUGUCUGUACAAGAA